rnacentral:rRNA from 1 species
GACGAACGCUGGCGGCGUGCUUAACACAUGCAAGUCGAACGGAAAGGCCCUGCUUUUGCGUGGUGCUCGAGUGGCGAGGGGGUGUGUAACACGUGAGUAACCCGCACUUGACUUUGGGAUAACUUCAGGAAAAUGGGGCUAAUACCGGAUAGGAGAUUCUGCUGCAUGGUGGGGGUUGGACAGUUUCGGCGGUUGGGGCUGUAAUGUCGGGUUACGAGCUGGUUGGUGGGGUAGUGGCUUACCAAGCCUUUGACGGCUAGCCUGCCUGGGAGGGUGGCCAGCGACAUGGGUACUGAGAGACGGCCCAGACUCCUACGGGAGGCAGCAGGCGAGAAUAUUACACAGUGGGCGGAAGCGUGUGGCAGCAACGCCGCGUGCGGGAUGACGGCCUUCGGGGUAUAAACCGCUGUCUCCUGAGACGAAGCGUGAGUGACGGUAAUGGGUAAAGAAGCACCGGCUAACUACGUG